UUUCUCUAAUAUCGUUACAAUUCGGUUUUAGAAGAGUUAUCCAAGUCGUUAGUAACUUCCAGAACUUCCUACUCCAAUGGACCCCGAAACCCAACUGGCAAACUCUACUCCCUUCGCCGCCGGCGAUGAUUCUGACGGUCACAACGAAGAGCGGCGAAAACUUUGCUCUAAAUGUAACAGACCAAUAAAAGUGUGUUUAUGCAGCAUAAUUCCACCGGAACCAAUCGCAACUAUUACUCGAAUCGUAAUCCUUCACCAUCCGCACGAGCAACGGCACAAGCUCGCCACAGUCCCUGUUCUAUCCAAGUGCCUCCACAAAUGCGACGUUAUAGUUGGCCGGAGAUUACGCUACGGCGAUUCAGAAAUUCUCGAUUCUCUUCACGAUGUUGCUAUUCUUAACCCUAAUUUUCCGCACAGAGCAAUUUAUCUGUUUCCUGGUGCUGAUACAUCACCAUCUCAGGAAAUCAAUCAUUGGAAAUCCUCGAAACAUAUUGUAGAGAUGAGCAACUACGUCUUGAUUUCUUUUGAUGGAACUUGGAAGCACGCUCGAGAGAUGAUGCGUGCAAGCUUAUCAUUUUUGUCAAAGUUUGCUGUCCAGGUUCACUUAGACUCUGAUGUUGGCAAUGACGGCGGGACGAUCUUCAAUUCUGAUUUAAUUCUUAGGAAGGAACCAUUUAGUGGAUGCAUGAGUACCAUGGAGGCAGUAGCACAUUGCUUACGGAUUCUUGAGCCUAAUGGCAUUGAUAUAGAGUCAAGUUUGAUAGAGGUUUUAAGAAGUAUGGUCAAGUUUCAGGCUUCUUUUCUCAAGCCUAUGAAGCCUAGGCCAAAGUUGAUAAAAGGAGGACGAGAGGGAAAAACAUAAUUGCCUUGUUCCAUCUUCUUUGCACUACUGAAGCAACAUGCACAAGGAUAGCCUCAAAUUCUGUUUUGGUUUGCAUGUACCGGACUGCUCACAGUUAUCCAGCCUGUACCUGGUAUCCCGAUUGAGCAAAAGGCAUGACCAUGAGGUGCUUUGAUGAGGUUAUUCAAAUUCUUCAGUUGCCGAAAACCUUGCCAGGCGGUGUUUUGAUUGGUGGGUAUAUGGCAGUAACCUGCUUAUGCGGCAGUUGUCUCUCAUGCUGCUUUUCUCCAGCCUCAAUGGCAUCUUGUUUCAGGUCAAAUUUCUGUAAAGUAGUCAGCCUGGGAAAUCUGAAUCUUGGGCUUUGAUUUCUUUGAUGAGCACUUGGAAGCAAGCUAAGGAACUUACAUGACAUUAACCACUGUUUGCUGCCUAGUUUUAUCACAUAUUUGCAAGUUAGUUGGCUGAUGAUCUUCAAUUUGGACAUGGUCUGCACAAGAAUAAUGGGGCCAAGUUCGAGUAAAAGAACCAAAGUGCAAUUCCUAAUGUCAAAUCUGUGAAGCAUUGGCUUCAUCUGCUGCUUCAAAGAGGGCAAAGAGGACGUCUAAAAGAUUAAUGAGACCGAAUGUCUUCAGAUGAAGUUUUAAUUUGGUUUCCUAGUACUGUUUAAGUAGUUUGUUCUGUCUUAGUGGUGGUGGUGUAAUUAUCAUUUAGUUGUUUGUUUCAAUUCAUGGCGAUUAGUCUUAACUCUUUAAGCAGUUGCAGCCAGUGGCGAAAUUUGCCCA